rfam:Picea glauca, whole genome shotgun sequence.
ACAUGCCUACAACGUAGCAUUAAUGCAUGGGAUCCCAUUAGAACUCUACAGUUAAGCAUGCUCACGCUAGAGUAGUACUGGGAUGGGUGAUCGCUCGAGAAUUCCUAGUGUUUUACAUGCC